UCGUUAGUUUUUCUUAACUAAGUAAAGGGAAAAUGAGACAUCCACCCAAUCGAAGCAAUUGCUACGAAGGAAACCCCAUACAGGUUCCUCGAAAGCAAAGCCUCGCAGUUAAAGAAAAAUUCGUCCUUGUCCG
rnacentral:lncRNA from 1 species